UAAAUCGUGAUGAAUCUUUUGAGCCUAGUUAGUCCAAGAUUGGAUAAUAUUUGUCAAAUAAAAACGAAAAUACUACAGUACACGAAGACAAAAAAAUUGGGAACUAAACAAGGCCUUAAUGCACCAUACUUUUUUAGGAACUAGGUUUGCAUCUGCUGUUGGAGAAAGAAACUUUUAGGUAUGGAACUCUCUUGCACAGCUAGAGAUGGCAAUGGGUAAUUACCCGCUGGGUAUAUGCCACCCCAUACCCUUACCCACGAGAAAAUAUUUUACCCGUUAAUUUACCCAUGCAAGGGUAAGAGUUUUUUGCCAUACCCUGGCCUUACCCAUGCGGGUAACGGGUAACCCAUGGGUUAUUCUUACCCAUGAUUCCAAGAAUACUUACAAAAAAUAAAUACAUAUUUAAAUAUUUCAGGCUCCUAAUUUCAGCCAAAGCAUCACAAUUUAUUAAUAAAAUCAUCAAAUAUACAAGCUCCAUGAACAUUUGAUCAAGUAAUUACUAGAUAUCAAGUGGCAAAAUUCACAAGUUCCCGUAUUGUGCGGCCGCUGCAAGGAGAUAGGGGAAAGGGGAGGGAGCAGAUGGGUGAGGGUCUAGGGUUUGACAGCAUUAUAUAUGAUUUUUAUUGGGCUUAGGCUGUGUAUGAUCACUUUGGCUCAUGAUUCUAACUUAUUGAAUUGGGUUAAAAUUACCCAUGGGUUAAUGAGUAUGGGCAAUGCAGUCUCAUACCCUUACCCGCUUUACCCGCUGGGUAAAGAUUUUUUUCCUAUUAUCUUACCUAUGGGUAAAAAAAUAGCCAUACCCUUACCCUAAUGAGGUAAUUACCCAUCGGGUUUCGGGUUUGGGUAAAGAUUGCCAUCUUUAUGCACAGCGCGACCUAUCACGGUUGAUUAAAGACUCCUCCAGAUUGCUCGCACCUCCAAAUUCGUAGCAUCGGUGGCUUUUUGUCCGCGAACAUGUGGCCUUCUGUGUUUUGCAUAAAACCCCUUCACAUUUUAGAAAACCAACCCGCAAUCCAUCCAGCUAGAGCGAACACCGAAUAGUAAACGCAUUCAUAUAUUUUAUGUAUAGAUCCUUUAUGUAAAAAUUAAUUCAACGUCAAGAAGAAAAAUUUAAGACCACUGUAAUUUUUACAGAAACUACCCCGCAUCAUUUUGUCGAGGACCCCCCACUCCCAUCCCCAGUCCUAGGUAUCUGGUCUCGCCCUCAUUCUCUUUUCUCCGUUCUCUCUCCCUUCUCGACACCGCCGCCGCCACUGCUACCCGAUCUCGACACCACCGCCGCCACUGCUACCCGAUCUCGUCACUCGCGGCCUGAUGACACGAGGUAUGCACGAUUGCAAGAUCCCGAUGUUCCUGCCUUCCAGCUGCAGCGCAAGUUUGGGAUGUGUUGUCUGCUGCCAUCCUAUGGCCAACCCUACUCCCAGAUUUGCCCCAUCCGCUUGGAGGCCAAAGUCGGGGAGCUCUCUCAGAUCCAGGCUACGACCGAGUGAGGGCGUGACCACAACUGAUGGACUUUGGCAAUGUGUCGACCAGCGACCUCUACGGUGGCAGCACAUGAGGGAGGCAUAACACGGCAAGCAGGCGAGGGCCAUGAGACAAGGCAACCCGGAAGUAGAGGCGUCUAAUGCAAGACAAGGCCAUUCGAGAGCAUGCAGGGAAGGUGCUUGAGGAAAGGCCACUGCUGGUUGCGUCAGUGGGUAGUUAGGCUAAAGCGCAGGUCCUUCGUUUCCAUCAAACUGUUGGCAUCCAAAGGUCUGAAUUCUUGUAGUACUUCAAAACUCCCUCCAUUAAAUUAAUGGGUUGUAGUAUAACUCUGCCCUGGGUUAUUUGGAAACCCGGUAAUUGUAUUUGAUAUCAUGAAACUUAAGGUUUUAGGUAAUGACAUAUGUGUGUGCCUUAAACUAACUAGCUUAGUAACUAAUACACAUGGCAUAUAGUUAUUAACAUAACUGCAAUAAGCUGCAGCCGUAGCCAAAUAGUCACAGCUGAGCAGGCUAAAACAAUAGUUAUCCUUGUACGUUUGCUUCUGACAUUUUUCUCCCUGGUAAUCUUGCAAAUUUUAGAGUGAGUUGUUGAUAUGAGUUGUCAGUUAGUAAUUUUUUUGCAUUGAUUGCAAAAUAUUGACUUCAAUGAAAGUAGUUACUAGAAGUGCAAAUAGAAAAUAAUAUAAUUCAUUUGAGCAUUUGGGAAUAAAGCAAAUGCUACCAAAAUAGAUCAGGGUUACCAUACAACAAAGCAAUAGACACAAAGUAGUUACCGAAAAUGAUAUUUCAAGCACUGGUUAAUUCAUUUGGGAAUAUAAUGCUACCUAAUAGAGCAAAAUAUUGACUUAAGCAAUGCAUCUGACCUAUUUGUACCUGGGAUCUUUAGGAGAUAAUGAUAAUAUCUAAUGACACUUGGUUCUAUGUUUGAAUAAAUUUACUCUGGUGUUGCAUUGUGUUCAUUCAAUAGAUAUGGUUAGUUGCAUUUUGCUUGGCUAUAAUUUUCUUUCGAAAGUAGGCCAAGUUUAUGUGGACCUCACUGUAGCUUCUUUAUAAUGAUUGUUUCAAGGUGGUUAUUGCUUUGUUGUGUCUUUGGUUUGUAUAAUGUCCAGGAUUUGACAUGUCAGUAAGCCACACAACCCUGUUAACAUAGUGCUAUAUAUGCAUAUGUAAUAAAAAUAAUUAAACUAAACAUGAGCUACUAAAUUUGUGUCUCCCAUCCUGACAUUCAUGUAAAAAAGAUCAAUACUAUUAUUUCCUUUGACAAUAUUUGUAGAUGUCACACUCGCUACAACAUUUAAUUAUUUUGCCCACAUUUUAAUCUCUUUUGUGAACAUCUUUGAAUCGCUGGUAGAAUCACCUUAUGAGUCGUGAAUUCAGAUUGUUAUGUUCUAAUUAUUUAUUUACAAUUAUGCUUGUGGCCUUUAAUGACAUGUUUUCUUGCAAAAUAGGCAAACAAUGAAACAUUUGCCUAAUCUAUUGAUAUUUUUGAUGGACUAACUAUUAAGUUAAUAAAUUUUGGUUAUUGGAGAGUGACGGUUGUCAUGCGUGGGCAAUAUUUAUGCUCUACAGAUCAAAUUACUUGUCUAUUUACAUUCACAUUGAUCCUUAUCCCACUAUACCAAGCAGCUGAAUUCUCUUUUCAUGUUCUGGUUUAUCUGUUCCUUUGUAGAUGUGAUUGUUUCUCUAUUUUUAUUUUUUAUUAGAAGCAAUUGUAUGGACCUAUGAUAAGUACCUUAACCAACACUCUUUGCAAUUAUUUAGAUAUGCACUUCUUACUAAUUAUUUGCGAUCACUCCUUUUCUUCAUUUCUAUAUUACUAUGAGAUCACUAAGUAUGGUGCUUGCAAUUUUGCUGUUGAUGUACGUGGUAUUUUAGGAUGUGCAGGCCUACUUUAUGAAAGUCAUUCAACGUGGUCUAUGAAAUGCUGCAAGGUGGAUCUGCUUUGUAGCAGUUGGAAGUGCAACCAAUCGUAGCAUCAACUUAAGCUAACUUGAUUUUGUAUUACGGAAGUGCAAUGUGUACUUGUAGUCAGCUAUUUUAUGUGUGUUCGCUCAACUGUUGUCGACAUAUGACAUUGAACAUUGAGAGAACUUGACAUUAUGAUGAUCACCUUACUGUCUUUAGAAAACCCCAUGUAUGUGAAAUGAGUAAUUUAUUGUUGUCUUGCCUCU